AUGGUGGUGUUAAUUGGAAUAUCUUUAACUUUAUUAUGGUAAGCUGGUUAUUACUAUUUAAAUGCUUAUAUAAUUAUGACUGUGAUGAUGAGUAUGAUUAUGGAGUACCGAUGAGAAUUGGAUUGUAAUAUGGACUGAAAUUUAUGAUAAGGAGCAAGAUUAAGGAUGUUAAUAUGAAUGGUGCUAGGAAUCGAUUGAUUCAUAAAUGGUUAACUAUGGGUUCGUACCAUUAUAAUAAUAGUAUUAAGAAUGGACAUAUGUAGUGUUAGUGGAAUUUAUAUAAGUGUAUAACUAGGUAGAUGGAUUUCAAGUAAGAGACAGGUGAAUGUUGAUUCACUAAACACUUUUUGUACAAGUCUUCAUUGUUAACUUAUUUUCAGGUGAAAUCUCAUCAAAUGGUUGCAGAUUAGUGUGGACCCCUGUAGCCCAGCAAGCUCUGAACAGAAGAGAAGUACAGGUUGAGGUCUACUCUAUCUUAGAAUAGAUACUCUGGAAGGAGGACUUCCUUAUGUAUUAAGUUUGAUAUUGAUGUUGUAGUUUGAUGUUGCA